CUGAUCCAAAGGAAUCCUGGGACCUGUAGUUUGGGGUACUCUGAGGAGGUCAUCUGAAGAACAUUUUAAGGGCUACAUUGGGACAUAUGAGUCAAGGCGCUGUCUCAGCUACUAUCUCCACCUUCCCCUGUAACAAAGAGGCAGUGUUAGAAUCUUAAACCCUGCUUGAUCAGAGGGAUCGACCCGGAAGCACCUAUACUGCAUCGGGGCUUUCUCAGCAAUUGAUCCAAACUAUGCUUCAGAAGCAGGAGGUAGCUCCAGGCGCAUAGCUACAAUAUGGGCAGAGACGGGGAGGGACGUUCUUGUUCUCUUCGCUGAGCUUCAGCUCGCAGAUGACAUCACGGUGCUUAAGGAGACGCAGCAGAUACUUCUCGGAAAUGAGGACUGGGGAGAAUUGUACCACCUCUGCAUGACAAGGAGAGAACACAGCAGUCAACAAGAAUCGCUAAAGGGGGACUCCAGGAAGGAGACGUGAACACACCCUACUGCUUCUUAGAAAAAUGAAGAGGAGGGAAUGAACCUAACUGUAGAUAUCGGAUUCAUCCAUGAUCUCUGAUUUGAUUAUUUGCUCAAUCACAUCCUGCAGGGUCACCACACCAAUCACAAGAUGCCUGGACUCAUCGUCAUCUUCCUCCUGCAUCUGGACAAUGGCCAGUUGAGAUUUACCUGUAGGACAGACAUUGGUUAUAGAACUGUUGCAAGGGGUGCAUUUUUAUUAAACUUUAUUUUUGUAAAACUCUUAAAGCGUUAUAUCCAAUGUAUAAUGCAUUCACUAUCCCCUUGGUUUCAGUAUACAGCUGUUCUGACUUGUUAAUAUAGUAUGCAGAUUAUUUUAUUAUACUUUGUAUAAAGCGCUUUACUUUCAUGUGGAAAAUGGAUGGAAUUCCCAGACCAGAUUUCAUCACCCAUCCCCAAUCCUUUCUGUUCCACAGAAAAAAAUUAACUGUAAAUGCAUAAUAAAGUGGAUGUUCUUUUUUUAAAAAAGAAAGAGCAUCCACGGUAGAAUAUAAUUACAGCAGGGGUUCUCAAUCUUGUGUUUCCAGAUGCUGCUGUGAAGAAACCACAUGGAAUCAUGAUUCAUAACUGUAAGAAACUUUACUUUGAGCUUGCAUAAAAUAAGAAGCCAGUAAACCCUUAUCAUACUGGAUGAGAUAGGUGGAUUACAUGACUUGAAUGAAGAGAGAGAAGUCAGUAUGCUACAUGUAGGAAUGAAAAUCUAUGUAUUAAUUCAGAUGAAAAUCUUAGACCACUUUAAUGCCUUCAAUAAAAUCCAA